CUCAGGGGUCCAAGAGAGUAAGAACAAAGCUCAAAGCUCUGCAACCCCAGCUCCAAGACACACAUGACAUCCUUUUGCUACAUUCUAUGAUGGAAGAAACUCCAAGGCGAAGCGAGCCCGCCUGUCAGUCGAGGGGUAGCAAAGCUCUGGGGUCAUGGAUCAUGUUUGUCAUCCACCACGUGAGACCAUGUGAGGGUGGUGAGCUAGAAUUAGCACGGCAGUGCAGCAGCCCCGGGAAUCCAUCACACAACUGAAAGCCAAGCAUGAGAGUUUGCCCUGGCACGAGUCAACCUCAAUCAGCCCAGAGUCCCCAGCUGCUUCACAUGGAAUCUGGUGAGCCUGGCCCCUGCCGGCGGGUGACAGCCAGACUCAGAGACAUGACUGGGCCCUUGCAGUCCUCUCCCUUGCCCACACACCAUGCCCAGUGCUGCUUGAGAAAGACCCACUGUCCCUGCAGCUCAUUCUUGAACCUCUUCUCCUUGUAGGCAAGUAUUUUUCACCUACAUGUCCCUCAUCGUCUUCUUCUAACUUCCUGUCCAAAGCCAUCAACUCCCUGGCAAUUAGCCUCUCAAGCAUUUUACAAUAUCCUUUCAGGGGUCCCCAUCUACUUGUAGUAUUUACAGCACAGCAUCUGGCCAUGGUAGAUGUUUUAUUAGUUGAAUAAAUAAAUGAGUGGAUAAACAAGCAAAUGAGAAAUAAAAUACAGUCAUCCCUUAGUAUGCACAGGAGAUUGGUUCCAGGACCCCAGCAAAUACCACAACCUGCAGAUGCUCAAGAUGACAUUGUGUGUGUGGAUGAUCCGCUCACAGCCUCCCACAGACUUUACAUCAUCCCUAGACGAUCUUGUAACACCCA
rnacentral:lncRNA from 10 species